rnacentral:rRNA from 1 species
GACGAACGCUGGCGGCGUGCUUAACACAUGCAAGUCGAACGGAAAGGCCCUGCUUUUGUGGGGUGCUCGAGUGGCGAACGGGUGAGUAACACGGGAGUAACCUGCCCUUGACUUUGGGAUAAAUUCAGGAAACUGGGGCUAAUACCGGAUAGGAGCUCCUGCUGCAUGGUGGGGGUUGGAAAGUUUCGGCGGUUGGGGAUGGACUCGCGGCUUAUCAGCUUGUUGGUGGGGUAGUGGCUUACCAAGGCUUUGACGGGUAGCCGGCCUGGGAGGGUGACCGGCCACAGUGGGACUGAGAUACGGCCCAGACUCCUACGGGAGGCAGCAGUGGGGAAUAUUGCACGAUGGGCGGAAGCCUGAUGCAGCAACGCCGCGUGCGGGAUGACGGCCUUCGGGUUGUAAACCGCUUUCGCCUGUGACGAAGCGUGAGUGACGGUAAUGGGUAAAGAAGCACCGGCUAACUACGU